AUUGAACGCUGGCGGCAGGCCUAACACAUGCAAGUCGAGCGAGCGGCGGACGGGUGAGUAAUGUAUGGGAAACUGCCCGAUGGAGGGGGAUAACUACUGGAAACGGUAGCUAAUACCGCAUACCAUCGGAUGUGCCCAGAUGGGAUUAGCUAGUAGGUGGGGUAAUGGCUUACCUAGGCGACGAUCCCUAGCUGGUCUGAGAGGAUGAUCAGCCACACUGGGACUGAGACACGGGCCAGCCUCCUACGGGAGGCAGCAGUGGGGAAUAUUGCACAAUGGGCGCAAGCCUGAUGCAGCCAGGCCGCGUGUAUGAAGAAGGCCUUCGGGUUGUAAAGCACUUUCAGCGGGGAGGCGUUACCGGCAGAAGAAGCACCGGCUAACUCCGUGCCAGCAGCCGCGGUAAUAC
rnacentral:rRNA from 1 species